rnacentral:tRNA from 1 species
UGCUUCGGCGGUAUCGAACCCCAGGCCGCCCGCGUGGCAGGCGAGCAUUCUACCACUGAACCACCGAUGC